UGCCUAUACAUAGGUGGAAACCUAUGCACUUGGUCAUCAAAGAAACAAUCUACAAUUUCUAGAUCAAGCGUUGAAUCAGAGUAUAGAGCUCUGGCUUCACUAGCUACUGAGAUUAGAUGAUCUACAUUUAUAUGUAGAGAUUUAGGGUAUUGAUAGAUCAUGUUCUUUUGAUAUUAUGUGACAAUAUUUCAGCCAUGUUUAUGGUAAAUAAUCCGGUGAUCAAACAGAGGUCCAAACAUAUUGAAACUGACAUACAUUUUGUUAGAGAAUUGAUCACUAAGAGCCAACUUCAGUUAAAACAUAUAUGUUCCUCACUUCAGUUGAUUGAUUUGUUUACCAAAGUUGUGACUUCUGACAUUUAUGUAAGAUUAGGUAGAAAUCUCAAGAUUAAUUUUAGUUUAUAGGUGUUAGUCAUCUUUCUUCCCUCUAAAUUUCAAAAGUUCUUCAAUGCACAAUUUCUGCCUAUACUAGUGUAGAACCUGUACAGAGUCAGGUAAUGAACAGAUAGGAUGUGGGAGAUAAAGUUUACUAAAAUUAAAAAUGCAUGUCAUUAUUAAAAUUAACAAUUGGAAUGAGAUAUGGAUGUUUGUUCUUACCUUUUUCUUUCUCGUUUUGUCCUACAAUUCUGCUCUACGUUGAAUGAUGAUUCCUGAUGCUCAAUUAAUAUAAUUUUGCUGAAUGAUAUAUGCAUUACGAUCAAUUUCAGAUAUUAAGAAAAGUUUCGGAAUAUGUGGAUUGAUUCUGUUGAUAAAUAAUAUCGAUUGUUUUUGAUACUGCACUAUGCUUGCUUUUCAGAUUAUGAUUAGCUCAAGCAAAGUACAGAACUUGGCUGGAAAUGAUAAAUGAUAAGUUUUUAUCUCAAUCGAUCCAUUUAUUUAUGAAGAUCAUCGACUUGGAAGAAGAAGAGUUAUCCAUCCAAAUCUCAAUCAAAAGAUCAAAGAUGGAUGAAGAAGAAAUCCUGAAUAAUCAAGAUGGUCUCCUAAAACUUCCAUUCUUCAUCAGCACUAUGUCGUUCAGAUCACCUGCUCAACAAAAAUAUUAUGCUGUGAUCAACAAGCAACGUAUUUUUUCAGAAGAAAGAGUAAGGUUUGAUCUGAUCAACAUCAAAGAAAUGGAGCUUCUUCUAGCACACAAUGGUGUAGUGAGAUUCAUGGAGAACAUUCAUCAAGAGAUCUUCGACUCUGAAGUAAACCAAUAGUAUGCUAACUUAGAGCAAGUACCAAACUCCAUGGCUAUCUCCACGAGAGUCAACCAUAGAGAUCUAAAUAUUAGAAUCCCUAUGUCGUUGGACUGAACUCCUGAUCUCCUUAGUCGUUGGACUAAACUUCCAAAUAUUAGAAUCCUUGUUCAUAAUUUAAGAUCACUGGAUGAUCUUCCAUUCAAGGUUACUACUGAAGAUCUAUGGAUCACCCUGACUAAUAGAUACUCUUCUCUGGUGUCACCCAAGAUCACAACUCAAUCUCUCUCAGCCAUGGCAUAUGUGAUGAUCAAGUUACUCCACAAAAGCAUUUGCUCUAUGGCAGGAAAUUGUGUUAAACCAAGCAUAACUAUGAAGGUUAUUCUAUUUUGUGUGAUUAAGAAGAUUCAAAUCAACUGGACUGAGCUACUCCUUUACAACAUGGAGCAAAGCAAAAUAAAUGGAUCGGUGAGACACUACCCACGACUCAUCAACAAGCUACUUGGUCCAGAGUACUUUGAUGCUCCAAAUGUUCAGCCUCCAGCAAGUGCACCACUUUAUUCAGUCACUGGUGCAUCACUCAGGAAUAAGCAUUUGAAUCAUUUCUCAACCUCAAUGGAAGAUGACACACACAACUCUGAAGCUAUCCAUGAUCAUGUCAGGAAUCUCUGCCAGAGAAGGUCAGAUCCUCACCAUGAAUGAUAUCAGUCUACUAUCAGAUCAAAAUAAUGUAAGAAGAGAUGAGAUUGUAGCACAGACCAAGAGCAUGAUAGAUCAAAUUGGGAGGAAUCAAAGAAGCAUGGUUGAAGUCAUACAAGCCAUCCUACAUAAGUUAGGAAUGGAUUAGAACAAUCGUCCAUGUUGACGUUAAGCUUUUGUUAGAACAUUGAUCUAUGAUCAUGUUCUGAAAAACAAACCCACGAUUUGUUUAAUGGUUAUUUAGUUAAAACAAUGCUUUUACUAUGCUUUGAGAUUACUACUUUGAUAUUAUUGCUACUGUUUGUUUGUUGUUAACUAAAUUAUGGUAAGUGUGUUUUGGUAUGAUUUGAUCUUUACUUACUAUGCUAUGAGUUUCAACUAAAUCAUGCCAUAUGCCCUGAUCAGUGCUAUACUACUCUGUUGGUAUCCAUAUAUGUAAGUUGAAAUGUCAUAACCAUUUACUACUUAUCAUUCCCUGAUUUAACUAAAACAUGUCAUAUGCCUAAGAUUAUCUAUUAAAAUGCCUAGAUCAUUGCUUAUCUACUAGUCUUUGAUUUAUAACUGAAUCAUGCUUUGAUAUGCCUUGAUCAAUACUAAUACAUGCUACUACUCUUCUAUAACUGAAUCAUGUUUUAAUAUGCCUUGAUCAAUACUCAUACAUGCUACUACUCUUUUAUAACUGAAUUAUCUAUAAGAGUUGAAAUUGCUAAGAUCGUUGCUUAUACAGGCUAAGAUCAUUGCUUAUUAGAGACAACUUCACCGGCUGCUGCCAAAGAGUCAGUUAAAGAUGUUACUUUGAUUAUGAAAUCCCUAAUCGAUUCAUUUUCCCUUUUCUUUAAAAUUCUUAGUUCAUCCCGAUUGCUUGCUGAUGUACUGCCUUCCUUGGUGAUAAAUGCAAUUAUAGUUUCUACUCACGUCGUACUGUGGUUCAUUACCAAUGAAAACAUCGGUGGUCCAACUGAAGAUUGAAUCCAUCCCAAUACUGCCAAGUCCUUUUCUAACCAUAUCUCAUGAGCUGAAUUAGGUGAGCCGUCACCUCUCUUUUCAGGAGGAAUUUCUUGUUUGUCAUCUACAAUAUCAGAAACAUGAUUCAACCGGAAUAAAUUCUCCAUUUGACCUCUCCAAAACAGAUAUGUUGAUGCUCCUUCUAGCGGAGUUCUAAUCCAGUAGGAGACUUGACAUUUAUAUAGAGAAUCGAGGAGAGUAGCUUUAUCAUGGUUUGCCAUCGGAAGAUCAGAAAAAAUACUGCAGUGAAAAUAAAAACAAAUUUCACCACUGCAGCUUUCUAAAUGAAUCGCAAAUAAAAUGCGAUAAAGAUUUUUUUUUAUUUACUGAAUAUCACUAUUGAUAUAUCAGUAAUCUUACUAAAAAAUAACAAUUAAACAAACAAACAAUCUAAAAAAAAUAUCAACCUAAACAAACUAAACAAUGAGUUUAAUUGUAGCAACAAAACAAAACAAACUCAAUCUGAAAUUAAACUCAAUCGCAACUAAUCACCUAAUAAGCAAUCAAUAGAAAGAAGAAAAAAUAAAUAACUUGCUGACCUGUAAUAGCACUCACAACCUGUAAUCAAAAUUCAAUAGCAGAGAAGAUGAUUAAAAAAAAAAAAUUCUAACCUGUAAUCGCUAACCUGCAGAACACAACUACAAAGAACCUGUAGUUUUCAAAGAACAACUACCAAAAGAAGAAAAAAACUACAAAGCAACUACGCAAUUCAAUUCCAUACAAUAGACUCAGAAUCAGAUCUGUAGUUUAAAGAAGAAAAGAAAAUAUUCGAAAUCUGAACUCUGUGAUUUAAAGAAGAAGGAAAAAAAAUGUGAUAUCUGAAAAUUGUAAAUCGAAAUUGUAAAUCACAUAAUCGAAAUUUGUAAAGAAGAAGAAAUCACAAAUCACAGUUUGUAGAUUUGUAAAUCGAAUCUAUCGAUUUGUAAGGAAGAGACGAAAUCGAAGGAACAAUCUGUCGAUUGUCAAAAAAUUGAAAAAACAAUAAGUCGAUUGUCGAACAAUCGAAGAAAAGGGGAAAAAAAACAAAUCGAUCAAGAUCAAAAAGAAAUCAAACUAAAAUUUCAGAAUCAAUCAAAAAAGAAAGAAAUCAAACUAUUUCAGAAUCGAUCAAAAUUUCAGAAUCAAUCAGGCAUCCGAUCGGAAAUAAAUUUCAGAAGCAAAACAGUCGCACACAUAAAUAAAUCUCAUUCGAAUCGGAAAUAUUGCAAGAUCGGCAAGCAUCCGAUCGUGAAAGAUCGCAAAGUCCAAUCGUAAAGUUUAUCAAAUCCAAUCUAAGACUGCAAUCUCAAGAUCUGAAAAUCUAAAAUCAAGAAUCAAACCUGAGAAGAAUCGACGCUGAAGACAAGCGCAGAUCCGACACGAACGCGGGAGAAGCAGAGGUGCUCGCGGGAGGGAUCGUAGUGACUCAGAUGAAUCUGCAACUUCCAGCAAAUCUGCACAUCCAGAAAAAGAAAAAUAAUCGCAAAUCUGCAGAGAAACAAUCACCAAUCGGAAAUCAAAAAUCGCACGGAAUCGCAGAAGAAGACGAUCUCGCAGAGAAAGACGAUCAAUGAAGCUAGAAAACUGAUACCAUCUCAGAAAUGCUUAACAUUGAUUAUCAUUGAAUUGGAAAGAUUAGUUAUUACAACAUAACAAAUAUCCUUUUAUAGGAUUGAGAAUUUACUCAACUAACAGAUUACAUGUUUACCACACUACCCUUGAUGAUUUAACAUUCAAUAGCCAAUACAGUAGCU
rnacentral:lncRNA from 1 species